GGAUUAGAUACCCUGGUAGUCCAUGCCGUAAACGGUGGGCGCUAGGUGUGAGGGUCUUUCUACGACUUUCGUGCCGUAGCUAACGCAUUAAGCGCCCCGCCUGGGGAGUACGGCCGCAAGGCUAAAACUCAAAGGAAUUGACGGGGGCCCGCACAAGCGGCGGAGCAUGUGGAUUAAUUCGAUGCAACGCGAAGAACCUUACCUGGGCUUGACAUACAUCAGAUCGCUGCAGAGAUGUAGUUUCCCUUUGUGGUUGGUGUACAGGUGGUGCAUGGUUGUCGUCAGCUCGUGCUG
rnacentral:rRNA from 1 species